rnacentral:lncRNA from 1 species
GAGACCCAUAACAUUCUCUGUACCGAACAUUCCGAAAUUCCCUCUGUUUUUCGCACCUGUCGUCCUCUUUUACCGCCAUAACACGGCUAGAGAAAACUCAAAUUUGCAAAGGCUUCUUCAAGAAAGUGCGAUUUGCUGCAAAAUAGCUCCAGACUUCAGUACAAUCUUACAAAAUCAGUUCAUUUCAGUUGUUACACUGUGUAACUUUCACACGAUUUCGAUUUAUUCUACGUGAUACUGCUGAUUUUUACGCGUUCGCGUUUGUAGUAGUUCUCUUAGUAAUCUAGCCGUUUCAAUUUUUUUGCUGCUGUUAUUGGGGUUGAUUCUGUGCGGUUUUUGACCCUUUAUUUUCUUUAUUGGCGUAUAUUAUGUGGUGAUUGAUGCUUAAGUAUAUAAUAUUCUUUAUCUACAUAGCAUAUUACAUGGUUAUUGAUGCUUAAGGAAAAUAGGAAAUGAUUGUCCCUAAUUUAGCUUCACGUAUCUGUACUUCCCAAUUAAAUCUGUAAUUUGAGUUGCAAUGAGCAGGCGUUUGUGAGUUCAUUGAAUUAAAAUUGUAGAGCAGGUUCCACGUUAAUUUAGUACAUGCAUGACUAAUUCUACUAGUAUAAGUACUGUUAAUUUCCCCCUUUCUUGGUGCUGUUUUAAAAUUGUUUGCCAGAUGCUCAUCAUAUGUUAACUAGUGUUUUUUCCUGCUGGGUAUUAAUAGUAAUAAGCACUGGACUGUAAAAGUUAAUGAACUAAUUCGAAACAAAUUUGGGCCUUCUGAGAUCAAAUGCCCAAAUUCAAUCCAUGGGAUUUUAGUGGUCAUUGCACUUCACUCAGAUGGUUUGUGUUGUGAUGCUACCAAAAAUUCGCACCCUGGAAUAUCCCUGAGCUUGACGGCGAGAGAUGCACACAAACAGAAUCUCCAGUACCUGAAACAAAGGCGUUGAGGUGUGUCUUGUUGCCUCUCCGAUGCUUAAGUUAGAGCGUGAGGCUACAAACUAAAAAUUAUGUAAAAACAUGCCUUAAUGAUGAAUUGAGAUCAUGUAUUUAUAGUGUUGGGUAGCCUACUACUAGUAGGUUUAGGUCAUUCGAAUCUUUAAGAAUUUUACCACGCUCAAGAGUUGUAACUUGAUAGGUAUCGUGCAAUUGAUGUUUGGAUAAAGAUGAAACUCCGGUGGUAGAAUCCCACCAAGAUGAGAUGAAAUAGGUAUAUUAGGACUUAAUCUUAUCAGAAUUGAAUAAGCCUUAUCUUGUAGGAGAGUCCUGAUGAGUUAGGUGUUGUUAGAAGUAAGGUCAAGGCAUAAACUCAAGGAGACCUCCAGCCAAAGGGCAGUGUUCUAGCCCGAGGAUCCUAGAGAUGCUAUCACGAAAUGGGCAAACUUCAUCCUCAGGAUCGAAUGGUCGGGUCGUGAUGAUAUUUGUCUAUAUGAGUUUGCAUUUUACUGAUUACACCUGCUGAAGCAUAUACUUGCCAAUUUUACAAAAAAAAAAAAAAAAAAAAAAAAAAAAAAGAGAAAAAAAAAGAAAAAGAAAAUGCUGAUAACUACCUUUAUAGUAUUUUGCAGAGUUUUUAAACUAACAAGAGAUACUGAGGACACAUUAGAACUAGCAUCCCCUUAAAAUGUUAAUCAUCCAUAGUUUUUCAAAAAUAUUCCUCUGUUGAAAAUUAACAAAGUAAACACCCACUUUGAUAGCUCUUGCAAUGAUUAUAUUGAAGGCCACCUGUUCUGAAAGACGGGGCAAAGUUAUAACUAUGUCCGACUUGCUUUGAAUUUUUCUCUCUUCGUCAUUCUCUUUUAGUUGCCAUUUCAUGUCAUCUUUUCAACUAGUUAAACCAUUUAGGUUCUCUGUUGAAUUUUUAAAGGAAUGACUUGAAGUAUGAUAUUUUAUUUGAUUGUAUAGUUAUUAGCAGUGGGAAAUUAGAUGGAUUGGGUGUAAAUAGAUUUUUGAUGAAAAUUUAUUCAUCCAAUAACCAAUGGACCUUAAUAGAUGGGAUUUAAAUGGAUUAGACCAAUACGACAAUUCAAUAAGAUGCAAUUUUACAGAAUUGAAUUCAAAUUUUUAUCUACUACUGGACACAGCACGCCAACCUUCACAUCCUCAGCAAAUGGCUUGUUUAAAAAGUCAACUACUAUACCUCUUAUUAGAUUCAUUGAUUUUGACUAUAUAUUGUUAUAUUAUUUGCCUGUACUGAUUCUAUUAAUUUCUUUGUAUUAGUUCAAAAACAUAUGUAGGCAUAACUGAUACAAAACCAAGGCUGGGGAUGGGGGUGAGCAAGGGUGAAUUUCUGAAAUUAAACUAUAAACGUAUCGUGAGCUAGAGUCAUACCACUAGACCAAAUUCCACCAGUUAUCGCUUCUUUCCUUUUCUUUAUAUAAACUGUUCUAGCCAGCCUUUGAUGGUUUUGCUUCAAGAACCUUAUUCUCAAAACCAUUUGACCUAUUCCCCAUAGGCAAUCAAAGACACUUUGGUAACGUAGGCUACAGCGAAUGCUCUAGUUUUGGUUGAUAAAGAGUGAUACCUGCAUAUGAGUUGAGAAGUCCCCUCUUUAAAAAUUGAAGUUUGAGUUGUUAUAUUUGUUUUGAUUUUUGGAAAAAUAAUAAGCUAUGCACGGUAAUACACUUUGGUGUAAUGCUCAAUGGGUUUUAAUUUUCUGCAGGAUCUACAACUUCAUAGUUCUAAUGCAGUCUGUGCAAAAUUUACUUGAUUACAAUAGGAGACUUAAUUCUACCUAUACAACUUUUAUUACCAUUAUUUUUUGUUGUUAGUGGUGUUUCUGGUAAUGUUUUUCUUGCAAUAUAUCCAAACUUUAACAUUAAUGACAUGGCAUCUGUCGCUAUGUGUUGCCCACCUGAGAUUGAGCCACAGUGUCUCGUAGAUAUGUUUUACUACUCUGGCUAAUGAUUAGAGUCGAUUUAUGAUAUUUUUUAGUAAUUUAUUAUUAUUUUUUUGUCUCCCCUAAAUAUAAUUGAAAGAAACAAAAAUUAAUUUGUAGGUUUCAUGACCACCUCAAUUUGACUGGGAAUUAAACUGAGGACCUCGCAUAGCCAAAGGGAUAAUCAAGGCUUAUUUUUGUGAUUUGACAUUAUUGAAAGUAUUAACUUACUGAGGAUUAAGUUCACUUUGAGAUCCGAAAGUGAUAUGAUGUAACCGAACCAGAUAAGUGGAGUCAUUUUUCUUAUUGAAGAUGCAGGUACUCCCUGGCUGGCAUACGUUGUUUUGAAUCUUUUGAUCUGCUACUUGUAAAUUUCCUAUUAUUCAACUGAGCACAGCAAAUUUCGCAGGUCAGUGCCAGUACCAUUUACUAAUCAUGCUUCAGUUUCAGGAUUAGUUAUUUGGUGCAAAAAUUAAUUUCCACAGUGAGCAGUCAGUAUCUCUGUUAUUU